AGAGUUGAUCCUGGCUCAGAUGAACGCUGGCGGCAGGCUAACACAUGCAAGUCGAGCGGGGGAAGGUAGCUUGCUACCGGACCUAGCGGCGGACGGGUGAGUAAUGCUUAGGAAUCUGCCUAUUAGUGGGGGACAACAGUUGGAAACGGCUGCUAAUACCGCAUACGCCCUACGGGGGAAAGCAGGGGAUCUUCGGACCUUGCGCUAAUAGAUGAGCCUAAGUCGGAUUAGCUAGUUGGUGGGGUAAAGGCCUACCAAGGCGACGAUCUGUAGCGGGUCUGAGAGAAUGAUCCGCCACACUGGGACUGAGACACGGCCCAGACUCCUACGGGAGGCAGCAGUGGGGAAUAUUGGACAAUGGGGGCAACCCUGAUCCAGCCAUGCCGCGUGUGUGAAGAAAGGCCUUUUGGUUGUAAAGCACUUUAAGCGAGGAGGAGGCGCCCUAGAUUAAUACUCUAGGUGCGUGGACGUUACUCGCAGAAUAAGCACCGGCUAACUCUGUGCCAGCAGCCGC
rnacentral:rRNA from 1 species